GGGCAGGGGCGUUGUUUGCUUGUUUAAUUUACUAGUGUGUAUACGUACAUCUAUGCCUGGUGCCUGUGCGUGCGUGCAUGUGUGUGUGUGUGUGUGUGUAGGCGCCUGGUUUAGAACAUCCAAAACCAUGAGGCAAAAUAAGUCUUUCCUCUUCAACUACACUUGAUCUUAAGCCAAAGGCCAAGAGACAAUCCCAUUGUCUUCAUAAAUUUGUCAGGCAUUUGUUACAGUGAUCUAACUAACACAAUUCUCCAGGGUAAACUGAGGAACUAGACUGAAUUUGGAGAGGGGCUAAAAGGUGAAGCCUUCAUAUGACCAGCUGCUCUAGAGACAGCUCCCGGGACCAGGGCUGUCCGAAUUGGCACACGUGAGUGCGUGUGCUGACACUAUCCAUAGCCAUCUAUACUUCAUGCUUAACCGUGCAUCCUGCGUUUGAUCGGGCAGUCCUCUGUGGAUGGAUGGAGCACUGCGCUGCUUGGACAGGUUAUAAACCACCUCUAUAUUUUCUUCUUUUCUUCUACAUCAGUCUUGCUGCCCUAAGUUGAAUGCCACAGUCAGCAACAAGCCAUUGAGCUUUGUUCUCAGCCUCUGUCCUAGGCUGCCAAGACACAACUGCCAAUUCAAACAAUUCCACCUCUUACCUCCAGAGUCCCAGCCCCUGAAAAUGAGUUGUCCAAAGGAGCAACCCACUGAAUCCAGCUGUGACCCACUCACCUCUGCUGAUUCACCAGCCUUGGACUGAACCUCCUACACCUGAGCCUUCAGCACUCAAUACCCAACACCGCAGAUGGCAGAUCCAAGGUACCAUUUGAGAGUCAUUCUUCAGCACUAUUU
rnacentral:lncRNA from 1 species